GCUCACGGUCACAGGAAUGCUAGGUUGCCUCUCAGAAACCAUGCAUUUCAGUGGUGUUUUAAGAGAGCAUGGAAGCAUGGCUCUCCUCCUGCUCCUCUUGGUGGCGGUCUCGUAGUGGACGAAGAAGGUGACCAUGCCCGACGAGAUCGACGACGUUGUGGACGAUGAGGAGGACGAGGACUGGAAGCAAUUGGGAAGAAAGAAGAGCUCCUCCGAAGCACCACUGCCACCGGACUUCUCCCGGGUGAACCUUGUGGAUAUCCAGGCCGAGACGAUGAAGGGCCGUUCCGGGUCCCCCUACGGCUUCGUCAAGGUCCGGCCGGGCGCCGACGCAGCAGGGUACGACAAGAUGUGAUUAAAAAGGUUUUUUUUUUUUGUUUUUAGAUCUCCUCGUUUUGGUUUCUUGAAGGAAGACGAAUUGUUCGUUUUGGUGCCCUAUUCUAAUGCAAUGUGGUAAAAAAAACCUCUUUUUUGUGAGUUUAAUUGUUCUAUUUGUUGUAACGUUUAUAAGCUGGAAUUCUCGAUAUGGAUUGGGGUUCUGGGUUUCUUAAUCUGAACUUCUAUGUUAGAUCUUUAUUUUUAGGAAUUUUUUUGUCCUUUCUUGUUCUGUUUUGGUUUUUGUAUAUUAUGUAACAUGUUGGCAAGGAGAGC
rnacentral:lncRNA from 1 species